rnacentral:rRNA from 1 species
CCAAUUAAUUUAACUUGGGAGUCAGAACAUGGGUGAUAAGGUCCGUGUUCGAAAGGGAAACAGCCCAGACCACCAGCUAAGGUCCCAAAAUAUAUGUUAAGUGGAAAAGGAUGUGGCGUUGCCCAGACAACUAGGAUGUUGGCUUAGAAGCAGCCAUCAUUUAAAGAGUGCGUAAUAGCUCACUAGUCGAGUGACACUGCGCCGAAAAUGUACCGGGGCUAAACAUAUUACCGAAGCUGUGGAUUGUCCUUUGGACAAUGGUAGGAGAGCGUUCUAAGGGCGUUGAAGCAUGAUCGUAAGGACAUGUGGAGCGCUUAGAAGUGAGAAUGCCGGUGUGAGUAGCGAAAGACGGGUGAGAAUCCCGUCCACCGAUUGACUAAGGUUUCCAGAGGAAGGCUCGUCCGCUCUGGGUUAGUCGGGUCCUAAGCUGAGGCCGACAGGCGUAGGCGAUGGAUAACAGGUUGAUAUUCCUGUACCACCUAUAAUCGUUUUAAUCGAUGGGGGGACGCAGUAGGAUAGGCGAAGCGUGCGAUUGGAUUGCACGUCUAAGCAGUAAGGCUGAGUAUUAGGCAAAUCCGGUACUCAUUAAGGCUGAGCUGUGAUGGGGAGAAGACAUUGUGUCUUCGAGUCGUUGAUUUCACACUGCCGAGAAAAGCCUCUAGAUAGAAAAUAGGUGCCCGUACCGCAAACCGACACAGGUAGUCAAGAUGAGAAUUCUAAGGUGAGCGAGCGAACUCUCGUUAAGGAACUCGGCAAAAUGACCCCGUAACUUCGGGAGAAGGGGUGCUCUUUAGGGUUAACGCCCAGAAGAGCCGCAGUGAAUAGGCCCAAGCGACUGUUUAUCAAAAACACAGGUCUCUGCUAAACCGUAAGGUGAUGUAUAGGGGCUGACGCCUGCCCGGUGCUGGAAGGUUAAGAGGAGUGGUUAGCUUCUGCGAAGCUACGAAUCGAAGCCCCAGUAAACGGCGGCCGUAACUAUAACGGUCCUAAGGUAGCGAAAUUCCUUGUCGGGUAAGUUCCGACCCGCACGAAAGGCGUAACGAUUUGGGCACUGUCUCAACGAGAGACUCGGUGAAAUCAUAGUACCUGUGAAGAUGCAGGUUACCCGCGACAGGACGGAAAGACCCCGUGGAGCUUUACUGUAGCCUGAUAUUGAAAUUCGGCACAGCUUGUACAGGAUAGGUAGGAGCCUUUGAAACGUGAGCGCUAGCUUACGUGGAGGCGCUGGUGGGAUACUACCCUAGCUGUGUUGGCUUUCUAACCCGCACCACUUAUCGUGGUGGGAGACAGUGUCAGGCGGGCAGUUUGACUGGGGCGGUCGCCUCCUAAAAGGUAACGGAGGCGCUCAAAGGUUCCCUCAGAAUGGUUGGAAAUCAUUCAUAGAGUGUAAAGGCAUAAGGGAGCUUGACUGCGAGACCUACAAGUCGAGCAGGGUCGAAAGACGGACUUAGUGAUCCGGUGGUUCCGCAUGGAAGGGCCAUCGCUCAACGGAUAAAAGCUACCCCGGGGAUAACAGGCUUAUCUCCCCCAAGAGUUCACAUCGACGGGGAGGUUUGGCACCUCGAUGUCGGCUCAUCGCAUCCUGGGGCUGUAGUCGGUCCCAAGGGUUGGGCUGUUCGCCCAUUAAAGCGGUACGCGAGCUGGGUUCAGAACGUCGUGAGACAGUUCGGUCCCUAUCCGUCGUGGGCGUAGGAAAUUUGAGAGGAGCUGUCCUUAGUACGAGAGGACCGGGAUGGACAUACCUCUGGUGUACCAGUUGUCGUGCCAACGGCAUAGCUGGGUAGCUAUGUGUGGACGGGAUAAGUGCUGAAAGCAUCUAAGCAUGAAGCCCCCCUCAAGAUGAGAUUUCCCAACUUCGGUUAUAAGAUCCCUCAAAGAUGAUGAGGUUAAUAGGUUCGAGGUGGAAGCAUGGUGACAUGUGGAGCUGACGAAUACUAA